GUAGGCAAAGUCACCAGAAUGUUGUCAUUUUCCUGGCUUCAAAAUUAAACUUUUUUUCCCUGUUGUCCUUAAAGAAAUGAUGCAGAAGAAAUACAAAUGGUUAUGAUUAUUGCUUAGUUUUAGAGCAGAACUUUCUCAUACUAGAAAUAAAUGUCUUUCAUUUAUACUUAUUUGAUAGGUUUGAUGAAAAUGCAUAUAAUUACUUUCUUCUCCCACAGGUGUAAUAAGAUGUGAUUCAUAUUUUCAUCUCAUAUAUUAUGGUAGAAAUCUAAUGGAGAGUAAAUGUGAAAGGCUUGUCAUCCUAGACAUUCACAGCCCAUUCACUAGAUAGAAGAAUAAGACUAGAAUUGUUGCUUGUGCUAUUUAUGAAAAACUUACAAGUUUGUGCAGCACUGUGUUUUUUGUUGUUGUUUCUUGUUUUUUUGUUUGUUUGUUUCCUGUGGGUUUGCUUUAGACUUUAAAAUGCCAUAAAAAUGCUUUAUUUUUUCAGACUCAGUUCUUUCACUAACAGUUCCUAACAUUUGAUAAUUUUAAGCGCUACUGCACUGAUAUUUUCAGAUACACCUAACAAUUAUAACUUCAAGAUCCCAUUUAGUAUGGUUAAUCAUCCACUCAGAAUUACUGUAUAUAAA
rnacentral:lncRNA from 7 species